GUGGUGGCUCACGCCUGUAAUGGGAGGCUGAGGCAGGCAGAUCACCUGAGGUUAGGAGUUCAAGACCAUCCUGGCCAACAUGGUGAAACCCUGUCUUUACAAAAAUACAAAAAUUAGCCAGGUGUGAUGGCGGGCGCCUGUAAUCCCAGCUACUCAGGAGGCUGCGGCAGGAGACUCACUUGAACCCAGGAAGCGGAGGUUGGAGUGAGCUGAGAUGGCGCCAUUGCACUCCAGCCUGGGCGACAGAGCGAGACUCCGUCUCAAAAAAAAAAAGUGGAGAAUUUGAGACUUACUGAAAUUACCUAGGAAGAACAACAAACGACUUGAGAUCUUUGAAUGCCAUGGCCCUCGGGCAGUCAGCUGUCUUGCUACAGCUCAGGAAGGUGCCCGAAAACUGCUGGUCGUGGGGUCUUAUGACUGCACAAUUAGUGUACGCGAUGCCCGGAAUGGACUGCUCCUCAGAACUCUGGAGGGCCAUAGCAAAACCAUUCUUUGCAUGAAGGUGGUGAAUGAUCUCGUGUUCAGUGGCUCCAGUGAUCAGUCAGUCCAUGCUCACAACAUUCACACUGGUGAGCUCGUGCGGAUCUAUAAAGGUCACAAUCAUGCAGUGACUGUGGUGAAUAUCCUAGGAAA
rnacentral:lncRNA from 1 species